AGAUGAAGGAGAAAGUCAUCAAUUUCUAUUUGUCACUAAUGUGAAAGACCAAUUGAUUGGCUAUAUGGAUGACUCAAUUUGGAACCAAGAUGAAAAGUUACGCACCAAUCAAAAUUUCAUAAAUCAAAUCACAUGGUCUAACUCUUUGCACAUAGGUAAGACAGGAAGAAAACAGUUUAAAAACAUGGUACAAAACAUAGUAUUUGGGAAAGGCCAUGAACGCAUCCAUCACUCUUACUGAGUUGGAGCCACACAUGUGCAUAUGCCAUGUGCCCAGCCUCCAGUGGAGUCCAAAUUCUGGAGAUGGGGCCAGUUUGACCUUGUCAGCCAGCAAGCCCUCAGCUGGAAAUCGCGGGAAGUGGCCUGGCAUGAACCAAAGCUGGAGGCCAGCAGAGUCUUGAUUGACAGCUGAACAAGCACCGGGCAAAGUGUGGAUGUGGGAGCAUAAAGGGUCCCUGCAAAGCCCUCUGUUGUCAGCACAGCAGCCAAGAGAGGGAUCUGUUGGCUCCACUUUCUGUUUCCCUCCAGGAGAACAAGUGUCAGGAGAGCCAAGGCCGUGAGGCACUCCCAAUUCUGGCUCAAUCCCUUUCCGCUUCCCAUUAUUGACAAAUGGAAAUUGAUGGGUUACCGCUUUAUCCGCUCAUUUAGAGGGCCUAGAAAACCUUGCAGCAAAUGCUGAAUAACUGUAGGCAUCUUAUAAAUAAGCAUCUUAAGGAUAUGAACCAUUUUCGCACUGCCACUAAGCAGAAUUAAAUUAGAUUUUGAAGUUGCUGCAGAAAUGAAUGAAGAAGAGGGAGGGAAGAUUUUGUUUUUAAUUCCCCCUAAUUUUUUUUUUAUAAAGACUGUAGAGCAGGAAGUCAGGGCAGGGUGAGAGGAGAGUGGAGUCACUUAUGCAUACUUCUGAUUUCAAGCAGAGCCUCUACAUAUGCACAGAAGCAUGCGCACGGUAUCACAAGGGGCAGCUCAGAGACCCGCAGGCUCAGCCUCCGGCCUGGCUUGGCCAGGGUCUCAGCUAUUGACCCGCCUCUGCCCGUGCUGGACCAUCACCACAUGCCAACCAUAAUCUCAGCCCUUAGGACCAGUCCUGAUGGCAAUUGGAGGAAUCUUGGAGUUUGAAGUCCUUUCCCUGGAUUUAGCCUUAAACCUUAAGUCCUUUUAGGAUCGGGUUUAGGAUCCAGAUCCAGCAUCAUUUAGGUCACCCACACACGGCUCCCACCCUAGUCUGUGAAGAGAAGCCUCAUGUGGUCAUCCAUCUGGAUAACCUGCCUGGUAUUUUACUCUUAUAGGGCUGUCGCCCAACCUUGUUCCUGGGUCCCUGCUGGUGGGUCUUCUUGUUACCAACACAGAGUUAGAUUUAUCACUGCUGUGGCCCACCCAUCUGUCCACUCUGGCCCCCACCCCACAUGCACAUAUAGAAACUACCGACACCCUCCCAUCUGACCUGACCCCACAGGUUCCCUGGCUGAGCCCUCUGAUGCCCACAUUGGGCCUGCUGCACUAGACCGUCCUCAGCCCUGCAGCCAGGACUGGGUCCCCAGUACUGGAGAUCUGGAAUGCCUUGGCCUGCAGUUGGCCAGCCUCACUCAGUCCCAGCAAGAGAGGAGACACAUGAUCCCCCCACCCCUGGCUCUAGGUUUGGAGUUGCUGAUGGUACAGGUAGCAUCCCUGCCUACCCACCCAAGCAACAAGGACAGGGAGAGACGGAAGGGAUCCUGCCCUUCCUCUCAGAAUCAAGCCACAGCCAGCAAACAGCAAGCCAAGGGCAGGGUCACCAAGCAGACUCCUGGAUUUAUCCAAAUUGCCAAGGACACACCACCAUCUCCAGGGUUCUUUGAUUGGUCAGAGAAGAGGAGAAGUGACCUGUUCUCUUUCCUCUAGCCCUGGAUUUGAACUCCCCAUGGCCAUUCUCACCCUUCUUUGCCUCUUCAUGGGUAGGCUGAUUCUGUCAUGAAUUGUACCAGGAAGUUAUCACCAGGGGAGCUCAAGUCAACCAGAUCAGAUCUGUCAACCUCUUGCUGCCUCAAAACCACCACCUCCGCCUCCUCCGUCCCCACCUCUGCCUCCUCCGUCCCCACCUCUGCUCCAGCCAAACUCAGGAAGGCACAGUGCAGGGUCGGGCAGCCUCCUGCAAGGCUUGGGCAGCACCCGGAUGUCGCCUAUGGAUCCUUGGAGUAAUGGUUAGGAGCAUCACUUAGCCAGGCCACACUUACCGAUCCU